UGAGGGCGGCCCCGCCCGCCCCGCUCCCGGCCGCGGGUCAGCGCCGAUCCGCACCCGCCUGCGGUUUAUCGACCCCGCAGUGGCCGGCAGGGGCCCGCUCCUCCGUGGAGCGCAGCUGUAGGCGGGGAGGAGCCGCUGUCCCGAAAGGAGCGCCUGGCACCAUGGCAAGGCCUAAAAAGAGACACAUAUAAUUUGAAGUUCACAACAGUGAUCAACAAACCAGUGGAAUUAUAGAUGAAGAACUGUUCUGUGGUGUUUAAAAUGUGUCUUUGCAUUUCCUGCAUAACUGGAUCCUAGCUCAUUAAGGAGAAUGCCUUCAAAUUAGUGACUUCAAAUGGAAUUCAAGAGAGAGUUAGUUCUAUUUGAGGGAGAUGGUUGUAAUCUGUUAAGAGUCAGUUUUUCAGCAAAGAAAGACCACAGAAUGUGGCUUGGAGAUGCAUUGAAUAGGCUUUCUUCAAGGUUCAUCAUGUCAGGGUAAUGCAAGAUAAGAAUUUUUACUUACUGGAGGACCAGGUGGACCAGAAGGAAGCCUGGAAUAUACACUCCUUGCUUGCAUGGAACUUGAAUGGAAACACAAAUAUGUUGUACUCACUGCAUCACCCUUGG